rnacentral:lncRNA from 7 species
AGUACGGAGCCAGUAUCCUUCCACGAUGUGGGAAGACAAUCUGCAGUUUUGUCUCAGGUGACCCUCGAGAGGAAAAGGCUGAUGUCUAUGACUUUCCCUUCCCUUCAAGAAAUGUUGAAAAAGUAAUUAAACGAAAGAAGAAGAAGACCCAAGUCUGGCUUAAAGUCUGGAAAGUAAUUUCAAAAAUGCUUGAAGAAAAUGAAAAGUUCAGACAUCGACUGUUGACUUGCAGUCAGUUCAAUGGAGAAAGCAAUGAUGCGAUCCAAGUACACAGAAGGAGGCACUCCCGCUGGACAGGGAGGAGUCCAUCUUUGGUUGGGUGUAGCAAGAAAAUAAAGGAAGAUUCAGGCCAAAAGGAAAUACAAAACUAGUGAACUGUUUUCAUCUAUAUCUCACUAAAAUUAGUGGGAAGACUACAAAUGAUUCAGAUGAACAUUGUUUCUCUGUUUGUUUGGCACAUAUGUUUCUGCUGUUCAAUAGGUUUGUUUUUAGAGUGGCUUAAAUAGCUUGUUGCAAGAUAUUUGAAGUCAUUAAGUUUAAUAUUUCAUUUAGUUAUUCGUUUUUGAAAGCCUUUUAGUGAGCAUAGUAUUGUGACAGUUUGCUUGUAAAAGAAUAAAGAUGCACAUUUAGUGU